CUGUGAAGGAAAGGUGAAAAGGACCCCGGGAGGGGAGUGAAAGAGAACCUGAAACCAUAUGUUUACAAGCUGUGGAAGAGCUUUCUAUGCUCAACCGCGUACUUUUUGUAGAACGGUCCGGCGAGUUGCGCUGGCUGGCGAGGUUAAGGACUGAAGGUCCGGAGCCGAAGGGAAACCAAGUCUGAAUAGGGCGAAUAUAGUCAGUCGGAGCAGACCCGAAACCGGGUGAUCUACCCAUGUCCAGGUUGAAGUUGCCGUAAAAGGCAAUGGAGGACCGAACGCACAUCCGUUGAAAAGGGUGGCGAUGAGGUGUGGGUAGGGGAGAAAUUCCAAUCGAACCCGGAGAUAGCUGGUUCUCCUCGAAAUAGCUUUAGGGCUAGCCUCAUACGAGUCUUGCGGAGGUAGAGCACUGAAUUUCCUAGGGGGCGUCAAAGCUUACCGAAGAAUAUCAAACUCCGAAUGCCGCGUAGAUGAUGUAUGGGAGUCAGACUAUACGAGAUAAGUUGGAUAGUCGAAAGGGAAAGAGCCCAGACCACCGGCUAAGGUCCCAAAAUGUGUGUUAAGUGGAAAAGGAUGUGGGAUUUCGAAGACAACCAGGAUGUUGGCUUAGAAGCAGCCAUACAUUAAAAGAGUGCGUAAUAGCUCACUGGUCGAGAGGUCCUGCGCCGAAAAUGUCCGGGGCUAAAACACACUACCGAAGCCGUGGAAUCAUCGAAUGAUGAUUGGUAGAGGAGCAUUCUUAAAGAGAAGAAGCUGUACUGUAAAGAGCAGUGGAUUUUUAAGAAGAGAGAAUGCCGGAAUGAGUAGCGAGAGGAAGGUGAGAAUCCUUCCGGCCGAAUAUCUAAGGUUUCCAGAGUAAAGCUGAUCUGCUCUGGGUAAGUCGGGGCCUAAGGCGAGGUCGAAAGACGUAGUCGAUGGAUAACAGGUUGAAAUUCCUGUACUAUGAUAUGACAGAACUGUGGGGACACGUGUGGAAAGUGGAAGCCGGGAAUGGAAAGACCGGUGCAAGCAAGGUAGGAGACUGGUUGGCAAAUCCGCCAGUCAAUCUGAAGAUGUGAUGCGUACUGAAAUAUAAGUAGGGAAGUCCGUGAGCCAUGCGUCAAGAAAAGCCGCUAUUGUUCAUAUCGUACCCGUACCGUAAACCGACACAGGUGGAUGAGGAGAGAAUCCUAAGGCCGACGGGAGAAGCAUUGUUAAGGAACUCGGCAAAAUGACUCCGUAACUUCGGGAGAAGGAGUGCCAGUGAGAGCUGGCCGCAGAGAAUUGGCCCAAGCAACUGUUUAGCAAAAACACAGGUCUAUGCAAAACCGAAAGGUGAAGUAUAUGGGCUGACGCCUGCCCGGUGCUGGAAGGUUAAGGGGAGAGGUUAGCGGUAACGCGAAGCUUUGAACUUAAGCCCCAGUAAACGGCGGCCGUAACUAUAACGGUCCUAAGGUAGCGAAAUUCCUUGUCGGGUAAGUUCCGACCC
rnacentral:rRNA from 1 species